UGCCUCAGUAGCGGCGAGUGAAGCGGCAAAAGCUCAAAUUUGAAAUCUGGCGUCUUUGGCGUCCGAGUUGUAAUUUGAAGAAGGUAUCUUUGGGCCCGGCUCUUGUCUAUGUUCCUUGGAACAGGACGUCACAGAGGGUGAGAAUCCCGUGCGAUGAGAUGACCCGGGUCUGUGUAAAGUUCCUUCGACGAGUCGAGUUGUUUGGGAAUGCAGCUCUAAGUGGGUGGUAAAUUCCAUCUAAAGCUAAAUAUUGGCGAGAGACCGAUAGCGAACAAGUACAGUGAUGGAAAGAUGAAAAGAACUUUGAAAAGAGAGUGAAAAAGUACGUGAAAUUGUUGAAAGGGAAGGGCUUGAGAUCAGACUUGGUAUUUUGCAUGCUGCUCUCUCGGGGGCGGCCGCUGCGGUUUACCGGGCCAGCAUCGGUUUGGAGCGGCAGGAUAAUGGCGGAGGAAUGUGGCACGGCUUCUGCUGUGUGUUAUAGCCUCUGACGAUGCUGCCAGCCUAGACCGAGGACUGCGGUUUUUAACCUAGGAUGUUGGCAUAAUGAUCUUAAGUCGCCCGUCUUGAAACACGGACCAAGGAGUCUAACGUCUAUGCGAGUGUUUGGGUGUAAAACCCGUACGCGUAAUGAAAGUGAACGAAGGUGGGGGCCCAUUAGGGUGCACCAUCGACCGAUCCUGAUGUGUUCGGAUGGAUUUGAGUAAGAGCAUAGCUGUUGGGACCCGAAAGAUGGUGAACUAUGCCUGAAUAGGGUGAAGCCAGAGGAAACUCUGGUGGAGGCUCGUAGCGGUUCUGACGUGCAAAUCGAUCGUCGAAUUUGGGUAUAGGGCGAAAGACUA
rnacentral:rRNA from 1 species